UGGCGCACGGGUGAGUAACACGUGAGCAACCUGCCGGGAAGCCCGGGAUAGCCCUCCGAAAGGAGGAUUAAUACCGGAUGUGGCCACCCUGCGAUUGCGGGGGAAGCUAAAGGAUUUAUUCACUUCCCGAGGGGCUCGCGGCCCAUCAGCUUGUUGGUGAGGGUAACGGCCCACCAAGGCGACAACGGGUAGCUGGUCUGAGAGGAUGGUCAGCCACACUGGAACUGAGACACGGUCCAGACACCUACGGGUGGCAGCAGUCGAGAAUCAUUCGCAAUGGGGGAAACCCUGACGAUGCGACGCCGCGUGGAGGAUGAAGGCCUUAGGGUUGUAAACUCCUGUCAAGAGGGAAUAAGCAAGUGAAGGUACCUCUAGAGGAAGGGGCGGCUAAUUCCGUGCCAGCAGCCGCGGUAACACGGAAGCCCCGAGCGUUGUUCGGAUUCAUUGGGCGUAAAGGGUGCGUAGGCGGCGCGGAAAGUCCGGCGUGAAAGGCAGGGGCUCAACCUCUGGACUGCGUUGGAUACUUCCGUGCUUGAGGACUGGAGGGGAGACUGGAAUUCACGGUGUAGCAGUGAAAUGCGUAGAUAUCGUGAGGAAGACCGGUGGCGAAGGCGAGUCUCUGGACAGAUCCUGACGCUGAGGCACGAAGGCUGGGGGAGCGAACAGGAUUAGAUACCCUGGUAGUCCCAGCAGUAAACGAUGUGAGCUUGAUGUGGGGGGAUUCGACCCCUUCCGUGUCGAAGCUAACGCGAUAAGCUCACCGCCUGAGGAGUACGGCCGCAAGGCUAAAACUCAAAGAAAUUGACGGGGACCCGCACAAGCGGUGGAGUAUGUGGCUUAAUUCGAUGCAACGCGAAGAACCUUACCUGGCCUUGACAUGCAUUGUGUCGUCGGUGAAAGCCGGCUAGUCCUGGAAACAGGACGCUUUGCACAGGUGCUGCAUGGCUGUCGUCAGCUCGUGUCGUGAGAUGUUGGGUUAAGUCCCGCAACGAGCGCAACCCUUGUGGUCAGUUACUAACCGGCUUAGCCGGAGGACUCUGGCCAGACUGCCCUGUCAAACGGGGAGGAAGGUGGGGACGACGUCAAGUCAGUAUGGCCCUUAUGGCCAGGGCUGCACACGUACUACAAUGCCCGGUACAAUGUGAACCGAAACCGCGAGGUGGAGGAAAUCGCU
rnacentral:rRNA from 1 species